UCCUCCUCCUCCUCCUCCUCCUCCUCCUCCCCCCCCGGGGGUGGGGCCGGCGCGGGGGGAGCCUUCGGGGGCAUCUUCGUCAUCCUCGGCGUUGGAAGAGCCCUUCAGCGGCGGCGUCAACGUCAACGUUUUGAAGAGCCCGCCCAUUGUUGUUGGCCUUGGAAGAGCCCCGUGGUCAUCGUCAGCGUGAUGAAGAUCUCCCAUCAUCAUCGUCAUCAUUGGAAGAGCCUUCGUCAUCAUCAUCAUCGUCAUCAUCAUCAUCAUCUUCAUCAUCGUCAACGUUGGAAGAGCCCUUCAGUGGCGGCGGCAUCGUCAUCGGCGGCGUCGGCGGCGUUGUCGGCGUCAACGUUUUGAAGAGCCCGCCCAUUGGUGUCGGCCUUGGAAGAGCCCCGUGGUCAUCGUCGGCGUGAUGAAGAUCUCCCAUCAUCAUC
rnacentral:lncRNA from 1 species